AUACGAAGGUCCCAAGCGUUAUUCGGAAUCACUGGGCGUAAAGAGUAUGUAGGCGGUUUGGUAAGUCAGGUGUGAAAUCCCGAAGCUCAACUUCGGAACUGCAUCCGAUACUGCUAGACUUGAGUAAUGGAGAGGCAGGUGGAAUUCUCGGUGUAGCAGUGAAAUGCGUGGAUAUCGAGAGGAAGACCAAUGGCGAAGGCAGCCUGCUGGACAUUUACUGACGCUGAGGUACGAAGGCUAGGGGAGCGAAAGGGAUUAGAAACCCCGGUAGUCC
rnacentral:rRNA from 1 species